GCGGCAGGCCUAACACAUGCAAGUCGAACGGUAACAGGAAGAAGCUUGCUUCUUUGCUGACGAGUGGCGGACGGGUGAGUAAUGUCUGGGAAACUGCCUGAUGGAGGGGGAUAACUACUGGAAACGGUAGCUAAUACCGCAUAACGUCGCAAGACCAAAGAGGGGGACCUUCGGGCCUCUUGCCAUCGGAUGUGCCCAGAUGGGAUUAGCUUGUUGGUGGGGUAACGGCUCACCAAGGCGACGAUCCCUAGCUGGUCUGAGAGGAUGACCAGCCACACUGGAACUGAGACACGGUCCAGACUCCUACGGGAGGCAGCAGUGGGGAAUAUUGCACAAUGGGCGCAAGCCUGAUGCAGCCAUGCCGCGUGUAUGAAGAAGGCCUUCGGGUUGUAAAGUACUUUCAGCGGGGAGGAAGGGAGUAAAGUUAAUACCUUUGCUCAUUGACGUUACCCGCAGAAGAAGCACCGGCUAACUCCGUGCCAGCAGCCGCGGUAAUACGGAGGGUGCAAGCGUUAAUCGGAAUUACUGGGCGUAAAGCGCACGCAGGCGGUUUGUUAAGUCAGAUGUGAAAUCCCCGGGCUCAACCUGGGAACUGCAUCUGAUACUGGCAAGCUUGAGUCUCGUAGAGGGGGGUAGAAUUCCAGGUGUAGCGGUGAAAUGCGUAAAGAUCUGGAGGAAUACCGGUGGCGAAGCGGGCCCCCUGGACGAAGACUGACGCUCAGGUGCGAAAGCGUGGGGAGCAAACAGGAUUAGAUACCCUGGUAGUCCACGCCGUAAACGAUGUCGACUUGGAGGUUGUGCCCUUGAGGCGUGGCUUCCGGAGCUAACGCGUUAAGUCGACCGCCUGGGGAGUACGGCCGCAAGGUUAAAACUCAAAUGAAUUGACGGGGGCCCGCACAAGCGGUGGAGCAUGUGGUUUAAUUCGAUGCAACGCGAAGAACCUUACCUGGUCUUGACAUCCACAGAACUUUCCAGAGAUGGAUUGGUGCCUUCGGGAACUGUGAGACAGGUGCUGCAUGGCUGUCGUCAGCUCGUGUUGUGAAAUGUUGGGUUAAGUCCCGCAACGAGCGCAACCCUUAUCCUUUGUUGCCAGCGGUCCGGCCGGGAACUCAAAGGAGACUGCCAGUGAUAAACUGGAGGAAGGUGGGGAUGACGUCAAGUCAUCAUGGCCCUUACGACCAGGGCUACACACGUGCUACAAUGGCGCAUACAAAGGGAAGCGACCUCGCGAGAGCAAGCGGACCUCAUAAAGUGCGUCGUAGUCCGGAUUGGAGUCUGCAACUCGACUCCAUGAAGUCGGAAUCGCUAGUAAUCGUGGAUCAGAAUGCCACGGUGAAUACGUUCCCGGGCCUUGUACACACCGCCCGUCACACCAUGGGAGUGGGUUGCAAAAGAAGUAGGUAGCUUAACCUUCGGGAGGGCGCUUACCACUUUGUGAUUCAUGACUGGGGUGAAGA
rnacentral:rRNA from 1 species